rnacentral:rRNA from 1 species
GAUGAACGCUAGCGGCAGGCCUAAUACAUGCAAGUCGAACGGUGUCUUCGGACAUAGUGGCGCACGGGUGCGUAACACGUAUGCAACCUACCUUACAUUGGGGGAUAGCCUUUCGAAAGGGAGAUUAAUACCGCAUAAGACAGUAGCUGAGCAUCCAGCAGCUGUUAAAGAUUUAUCGAUGUAAGCUGGGCAUGCGUCCAAUUAGCUAGUUGGUGAGGUAACGGCUCACCAAGGCAAUGAUUGGUAGGGGAACUGAGAGGUCAAUCCCCCACACGGGCACUGGGAUACGGGCCAGACUCCGACGGGAGGCAGCAGUAGGGAAUAUUGGGCAAUGGACGCAAGUCUGACCCAGCCAUGCCGCGUGCAGGAUGAAGGCGUUAUGCGUUGUAAACUGCUUUUAUACAGGAAGAAACGACUCUUGCGAGAGGCAUUGACGGUACUGUAUGAAUAAGCACCGGCUAACUCCGUGCCAGCCGCCGCGGUAACAC